UCUUGUCUAGUAGUUACUUGGCGGAGAGGAAAGUCAACUAUACCGCCAAAUGAGCAAGUGUGGUAUUCCUGGCGUUAGUCCGAUUUCAUAGACUCUCGAAUCAAUCUCUUUGUAUCUAUCUGUGAUUAUUAUAAGAUGGAAUUGAAUAUAGUCAUACAAGGGAGAAGAAUACAACUAAGAAUAAGGGAGAUGUCGUAUAUUCCACUUGUCCCCAGCCCAGCCUAGGUAUGAUAGAAAGAAGAGGGUGACUAACUAGAAUAAGGUCACUAACCAGAAUCAGGUCACUAAACAUGUGCUCCCUAUCGAAAGUAAUAAUGUCAUUUAAGCUCUUGAGCCCCAGGUGCCAGGUAUACUAAAUUAGCCUCUUUUUCCGCUUAUGCCUUAUGCGCAAGAGAGAUUCAAUUCCACUCAGUAUAAGAGAAUAGAAUGGAGGCGCGGGGCAGGCUCUUAUUGGAAGCUUCAGUUUGCUAGCAGGUGUUUAGUUCGCCUAAGCAGCUUGUUUGCCGGGACGUUACGGUGAGUUCCAGUUUUCGGCUUAGGAGUUGAGUAAGAAGAAAUUCCUUAUCGGUUGCCUGGCCCGACUUCAGGUUCAUUCUCUCAAGGGUAGCAAGACAUCGGGGAGAGGAUAGAGGUUAUCGUGUUGCAGUACCUGAAUCAGCAGGAUCAUCUGCAGUUGUUAGUUCAAGUUCAAUUACAGGUGUGUGUUGGCGUUGUCGAUGAGAAUGAAUCAACAGGAGAAAUAUGUGAACCAGGAUCAGAUGCCGAAGAUGCAAAUGAUGUAUCUGUUUUCACAAGUGUAGUUCCAGAUGAAAGUCUAGUUCCAACUGAAUAAGCUGUAGGAGCAGUAUCUGAGGCAGGAACAGAGGCGUCAGUGAGCAGUGCGGUAUCAAAUCAAGGUUCAGUGCGCAAGGAAGCAGCAGACAACUUGUAGCUCUUAACCCACCUAGUACUCAAUUCCUCCAAUCUUCUGCUUAGGGAGUUAUCUUCUCGGGAGCUCUGUGCAAUAAAGAAGGAUCCGGAGUAGUUGACCUGACCACAAAGAUUCCAUUACAGUUUUCUUCGGUGAUAGGUAGUUUGUAGCCGAGUCCAGUAGUAGUUCGAGGCGCAAGUCCGGGUUCGUUCAGUCUGGGCAGAAGAAACCAUUGGCAAGGAAGCGGUAAGUAUUUAAGCAGGAGUAGGUAUAGGCCCAACAGAAUCAUAAGUUCUAAUUUAGCAUCUUAUAAGUAAGCCGAAUGCGAAUGCCCACUACUACAAGGUGAAGUAUAGAAUGACCAGUUCGUUCCUGUUUUCCGUGGUAGCGAGUGACUCAAGCGCUGAUGGAGUUAACCCUUUGUCAGCUGCAAUUCCAUUCAGUUCUUGUGAUGAUUGUGUUGGUUCAGAAAUAGAAGUUCUAGUGGAAUCUGUGUUAGCGCCGAGAUCAGUAUAAGGAUCAGACUCUGGAUCAGUAUAAUCAGGCCGGGUAAUAGAUCGGUGUUAUCGACUCGAGAGCGAGAGAUGAAGGUGCAAGUGAUGGAGGUCUAUGUCCUAUGUUAUACGGCACAAAUUCGUUAUCAGGACAGGACUCGGGCUCAGCUCCUGCCGCGCAAGCGAACACCAGUUUUCAUUGCUACUUGCCUGUUUUCAUUGCUUGUUUAGUAGUUGCCUGUCUGCUUGGUUCUUUGUUUCAAUGGUUUAGACCCGGUUGAUACAGUCGAUGCCUUGAAGCGGAAAUAUCCUGUGAGGGCUAGAGUGCAUUCAUAGAUACCUGGGAGUACACCUGAAUCAUUGCUUAACUUCCUGUUCGAGAGGAAUUAAUAGUUUGAAAGAAUAGGCUCAGGGCUCUCGAGCGAACUCCCUUGUUACAUCCGGUCCGCUCGCUUGGAGAGGAAUGAAAGUCAAGAUGUUAUUAGGAUCCUAGCCUAGCUCAACGAAAAAGCUUUUGAUUAAAACACUUUCUGCGACCGAAGGAACACACUUGAAUGUUUCAUAUUGAGUCUGCAAGUAAGGUUGAGGCCCUUAUUGUAAGUUUCGGCAAAAGAAAAGAAUGGAAUUGAAGAUUGCCUAUUUCUAUGCUGGAGAAACUAAGGCGUCUAUGAGAGCAAUGCGAAGUUCCAGUAAUGUUUUAGUCUCGGGGGCGUAAGUGAAUUGUGCUAAUGCUGACUUUCGGGCUUAUUGAGUAUCAUCAUAAAGUACUCGUUUUGCUGCCCUAAGUUCAAAUGGGGUUCCGCUACCCAUCUAUUUGGUGACUUUCUUUUCUCUAAUGUAAGUGAAACAAUUGUUGAUGGUUCUUUUGUCGACUUCUCCUUUAAUUGCAUUUUCUUAUUCUGUCUCUCUCGUUUACUUUCAUUGAAUUGAACUGCUCGUCGCCUAGCCUAGAAAGAAAGACGGAUCUCGGGAUUAAACUCGUACAGCUAACGCGGAAGAAGGAAUUUAGACACCUACAUUGGUUGCAAGAGAAGAGAAAGGAAAGGGGUGGGUAUUCUUUGCUAGUUGAGUCAGCAGUGGAAAAUGCGGUAUCAGGAUCAUCGACAAGAGAAUCUGCCGAGUAACUCGUUAACGCCCUUACCCUUCUAAGCUCUGCUCGUUCUCUUGCUUUUGGCGUGCACUAAAUACAGCCCAGACCUGAGGAACUUAUUAACACACUACACUGAUUGUCCGGGUCGACCCAAAAGAGAAUAGUAAGCGUUUGCGAGUUCACCUGACCGCUCGAAAGAUUGCGUGAAAGCCUGAACCGAGAUUAUGGCUUUCUCAACAAGAGCAAGGGCGCCAGUGGAAACAUGUCCUGUUCCGGGUUACGACUUAAUAGUUAAGAUCAUCUCCUUUCCUUCUGUUCUUGGUUCGUCGUGAAGUGAAGAUCAAUCAUAUCUUUUCUUUUGCUUGUGUUGUCGUUUCGUAGAGUUAUUGGCGUCCACGAUAAUUAGCUUAAUUACUGCUUUCCCUUACCCGAGUAGUGGUAGGCUUUCCCUUGUAGUGGUAAAAGUCGUCACCGAUGCUGCUCGCAGGUUUAGUACGGUUGAUAGUCAAGUCGACGAGAAAGAAGUGUUCUUCCGCCUUUACCGUCUGUUGGUAACGUCACAGAUUGCCCUGACUUUAUAUGAGCUUUGAUUAUGGGGUUGUAGCUGACGGACACUUCAUUCAACAAGUAGCUGCUCUAGGCGGACACCCCGAAAUAAACAAGAAAGAUUGGAUUCCACUUUCUCUAGAGACCCCCCACCCUGAAAUCAACAAUAAAGAUUGGAUUCCACGUUGAGUAUAGAAAGAAAUAACAAAACACUGAACAAGCACCUUCUAUACCAUGGUUAGCUGGAGUAAGAACAAAUCAAUAAGUAAAUAAGUUGGGAAAGGUGAGUACAGGUGCAGGAAAGGCUAAGUCAAUUCUGCUUGUGAAUGUGAAGGAAAUGAUGCUUGUAUAGAUGGAUAUGCCUCUGUCCUGAAUGUCAUUUUGAUAGGGUUAGGGUACCCUCACUCCUCACGCCAUUGCUUGUUGGUUUCAAGGUGAAGUAGGCUUAGGUCGACGAGAGAGGGAACUCGCUAAUGGAGGUUUUCAAUUCAUUCUGAAGCUUAAGUAUUGGAGUUGAGAAAUUGAUAGUGGGCGCUGCUAUCAGAUUCUUUAGUCUACUUUCCUGUCAACCCAAUCACCGAACGAACUUAGACAACUUUCACACCGGAACUAUACUUUCCUGUCAACCGUACUCUACACUUUCUUUCCUGCGAACUUUCCUGUCGACUUAACCGCUUACAGAAAUAAGGCUUCUUUAUGGUUAAAAGGACACCAUCUUUCUCUAAGUUGAACCUAUGCCUCCGUUCAACCUAUGCCUCCGUUCAAUGUAACAAACAAAACGGAUUAGUUCGGGUGCUGGUGCUAACGCGAAUUCUUAUAAGGCCAGGAUGCAGAUAUUAUUUAUCAACUCUCUUCCAUUCUUUCUGCUCCAAGUCGAGUAUCAAGUAAAGUAGCAGGUCUCGUUGCCAUUCCAUUCAACAUUCCAUUCAAUAAGUAAGUUCGCUGUGAGGUGUUGUUAGGUAUAGCAUAGAGAACAAGCAAAGGCAAACGUUAGCUUUGUAGGGGAGCUUCCUGCGCCUCAAUGAGUUGUCAAAACAGGCAUUGCUUAUUUUCACCAUAUUCAAUAUUAGAUGAUGAACGCUAGAGUUGUCCAUUUGCCAUUACGCGUUAGCGAGAAUCUAAUGUCAUGUUGCGUGUUAGUGAAGGGAAGGGUGCCGAUGUUCUAAAUGAAAGUCAACUGUGAGUAUGCUUGCUGUGUUUAGUUACUUCGGUGAGACACUGUGAACACCUUAUAUGAUAUUAUUUCUUUUCACCCUGGCGCUAAUGUAUGUUAGGUUAUUUCCGUUUUCUUUCACCCUUGCGCUAAUGUAGUGAGUUUAGGUUUCUUCCGGUUGCUUUAAGAAUUCCAUAGAUCUUCUCGCCUCGCAUAUUAUAUAAUAGAGAAAUAAGACACUGCACUCACUUAGAGCUGGUCUACAAUAAAACACUUAGAGCUGGUCUACGACUACUUAGAGCUGGUCUACGACUACUUAGAGCUGGUCUACGACUAUACAAGGUACAAAUGUCUGUCUACUCUACUACUUGCUCCCCGGCAACUAUACUUCUUGCUACUACUACUUAUUCCACUACUCUACUACAAGUUUGGUAUUCAACUAUAGCACCCGACCUCUCUCCUUGACCUUAAAGAAUAGCGUUAACGGGAGCUCAAUCUCCUUUCUCAUGCCUAUGAGGUGUCGGCAAGUGUAUAGUUCUUGUGGAAGAAUCAAAGUACUGUAUUCGUUUGGGCGGGGCACUAGCAAGAGCUUUAGAUGCACAUUCCCCACCUAACUUUGCUCGUACCAUCAUAUUUACCUGCUGCUCCACCUGUCUUCACCUGCUGCUCUACCUGAUUUAGAGGUUGAUUUACCUGAUUGAGAGUCCUUUCCGGGAUACCCAACUGCCACGGAUCCUUCUAUUGCAACACCUGAUUAUGAGUGGAAGGCUUGAAGACCUGAAGUCGGGUGCUUGUGUGAAACAAUCAAUUCCAGUUUCGUUCUUGUGAGCAACUGUUAGAAAUGCCCUUACUAGUAGAAAUCAGCCCCUUAUGGCUCCAAGGUAACUAACCAACCCUGUACAAUAAUUUCAUCAUUUCAUCCAGAUAGUGACUCACAUAUAAAGUAGGACACUCAAAAGCCAGGAAAGGAAAACACUCUUCAAGCAAGGGCAAUGGAAUAAAGAUCUGACUUUGUUUCAAUUGAAAGAGCUGGAUCGGGAUCUAAACCAAUAUUUAUAGAAGUUGAACAACCAAGCCCCUACAAGGUAUAAAAGAAACAGUUACUGAUUGCAUCAACCCUUAUCGGAUACUGAUGAACUUACCGCUUGCAUCUGCUUGGCUCCUACUUAAGAGUAGAAUUAUGACCUUUCCGACUUAUUAGUUCCAUUCAGUAAUUCUACCCUAUGAGUUGGUCUCUUACUUUACUACUUGAGAGAAAGAGCACCUCGCUUUUAGGCCUAUACUGACCAGUCUUAUUCUUAUACCGAAUAGUUGCAUUCUCAGUAGCACUGCUUUAAGGCUUGCUGGUAUUGGUUUCAGUCUCACUUGCCCACUAGCUCACCUCCGACUCGGUGCUUUAAGGCUUCGUUUCACUAGUGUCAUUAUGAGUAGCACUCGUUUAAGCCUGCCACUACCUGGGUGAAGUCUGGAACUGAUGAGGUGCAUUCUUUGACUUGCUUGUUUGAUUCUGAUCUUAGUACUUGACAUGCGGGGGCCAAGCAACUACUAGACGCCUUGCCUCUCCUUCUUUUGAGUAUCCCCUUCCCCUGCCUUGCUUGUUUCUCGUGAUAGAGCUGGCGCCUUACUACCCUUGUUUUCAUUCUAUAUUUACAGAAUAUGGACUACAUUUACAGGAUUUGGACUACAUUUACUACUUUGGCUAAGCUUAACUCAACACCCUACUUGUUCUUUCCAUGCCUAGCCUAGGCCUAGUUCCAGCUCUGCCGCUCCUAUAGGGUUCAGCUUCAAACUUAAUGGACUCGGGUUUCAAUCAAUAGGGGUGGGGUUUCAAUCAAAUCAAUAAAAGGGGUGUGUGUAGCAAUGAAGGAUAUAGUUGUGAUAUUACACUACACCCUUCGGGCAGAGAUCAACGCGACUCUAGUAGAAUGCUACUAACGCUUCUAAUAUUGAUACGAUAAACCUAGGAAAUAAACUAUCCCUAACAAGAAGAAAUCUAUGGAAACCAACCCGGACUUUUCUUCUUUCUCGUGUUUUUGGGUUCUUUAAAUACUAAACGGAAUGCGGACUUUCAUUCUCCAAUUCCUGAUCUAGCAUGUUAUCUUGUUUAUGAGUUGUGGGCUUCAUUUCUUUUAUUUAAGUCUCCCGCUCCCUUAUACAAUUCUAGGUAUCCUGUAUCUCAGCCCUACGAUCCUAACUCUAAGUACUUUAUUUGUUUCGUGCAUUCUUGCUUUCCUUAUUCCAUUAUAUUAGAUUAAUAUGAUUCUAUUAGAUUAUAGUAGCAUGUAUUUUCUUGAAACAACUCCGACUAUAAGAGAAUUAAGGACAUUGAUUGAAGAAUGGAAAUCAGUAGUAAGGCAACAACUCUAAAGUCAGAAUACAAAGGACUAACCCCAAGAAUGAAAGAAGCAAGUAUCAGAGGCUAUAACUAUAGUACUUAGGGGAGUGGAAGAAGAGGAUAAGAAUGAGGCGAUGAGGAUAAGAAUAAGUAGUCUGCGCGGGGUUGCCAGCGCUCUCAACUAUUUCCAUAAAUAAUUUCACUAUGGGGUUAGGCUUCCCUUUCUAAGUAAACUUACAACUACUAUGAGAAUGGAACCGGGGAAUACAAGAAUGGAGCUACUAUAAGAUAAGACUUGGUCUGCUAACUGGCAAUUCCACUAAUAAGUCAAAGAAGAAACCCUGCAAUAAAGAAGCAAAGUACCGAUUCCAGGAAUGCUAUUAAAAACACUUGUGAACCGGGACAUGCAAGCCGGAAGUGCCAAUACACGGAAUAGAACUCGACAAGCUACUUACUAUACUGGCUCUGACCUUACAUUCCUUGAUCCUAGCCUGGCCCUCUCGUUGCUGUUAGCCUUUUCUUUGAUUCGAACUACCCUGUCUCUAACUCUUGAACCACUGAUCCGGGGUGUUAGAUGGAGCGAAGCCUACCUAUCCGAGGUUGUAUUCUCCCACGUAGCUAUCUAACCCUACCCAUCUUUGCUUUGAGUCCCGCUCUCCCUAACUACCAAACUGGAACCAACCCUUGCUCUACUGCCUGUGAGUCUAUAACUACUGCCUUUCCGCCGGCGACUGCUAACUAUAAGAAAUCAAUCUAUCAGCGAGGAAUUCCACCACGGAUAACAAUAGUCGAACAAAGAAAUAGGACGACCUCUACACACCUUUCACCUUGCAUUGAUGCCUAUGAGCCUUACUUUACUGCUUAUCGGCCUUACUUAUUAGUUAAAUGAACUCAAUGCCAACCAAACCUUAGAUCAAGUAUUUAUCCACUUGCUUUUAAACCAAAACUCUUUGCCUUGAUUCUCAUAGCCGGCUCUUCAAUGCCCAUGUCCUAUUGUUAGUCUAUCUCUACCAUAUGUUAAAUAGGGAUGCCCACGCUACUCGCACAUCUAUAAGCCUAGCACUGCUUUAUCUCAAACUUAGGUGAAACUCCAAUUCUGACUCGACUGUAUCUCAGUCGCCAAGAACUAACUAACAACACCUUACCCAUUAGCUCCAUACUAGAUUCUCUUAAUAAUGGACUCCCCGCUUUCAUUCUCUGUAUCGCUUCUUUCACUCUUACUCUUAGGCUCCGUUCCUUACACCCGAGCUUGGUAGUUCAACUACUUCACUAAAGUAUUAGACUUGCCAAGUCACUCGGCCUGUUUUCAAGCAAGUAGCGGUAUAAGGUAAAGUGGAGGAAUUACUCCUUAGACUUGGAAUUCUACCCAUAAGAACAAGGUGAAACCUCAAAUGCAAGACUAAUAAGAAUAAAGAAAGACAAAGAGAAAAGUCCGGAGUUAACCUAAUUAAUAGCGUCAGUGUGUUCGCCGCUGCUAAUAAGAAGAAAAAGGUACUUAUGUUCUUUAGCUACCGAUCUCAAAGCUGCCCUGCCCCUCUUGCUCUGUCGCUACUGACUUACAUUCUUUUAGGACCAAACACAAAUAUAAGGCUUGAGCUCUUGACUCUAAGGCGGACUUUGCGCUGUCUAUCGGUCUGGCACUCUCCCAGCUCGAAAACGGAU
rnacentral:lncRNA from 1 species